rnacentral:rRNA from 1 species
UACAGAGGGUGCAAGCGUUAAUCGGAAUUACUGGGCGUAAAGGGCGCGUAGGCGGAUAGUUAAGAUAGAUGUGAAAUCCCCGGGCUUAACCUGGGAAUGGCAUUUAAGACUGGUUAUCUAGAGUAGAGUAGAGGGAAGUGGAAUUUCCGGUGUAGCAGUGAAAUGCGUAGAUAUCGGAAAGAACACCAGUGGCGAAGGCGGCUUCCUGGACUCAUACUGACGCUGAGGCGCGAAAGCCAGGGGAGCAAACGGG